rnacentral:ncRNA from 2 species
AGUCAAUAGUCGGGGGGCCAUUGCAAUGGCUGAGAUCGAAAUUCGAGACCCGUUGAACCUGAUUCAGUUAACACUGACGUAGGGAACUAUCAACACUUUGCU